AUAAAUUGUAAUCGUAUACAUUGACGACAUACUGAUCUACUCCCGGAACCUAGAGGACCAUCACCUACAUGUUGCGGAGGUCCUAGAACGCCUGAGAAGUCAUCACCUCUUCCUCAAAGCCGAGAAAUGCGAAUUCCAUCAAACCUCUGUGCAGUUCCUUGGUUAUGUCAUCAGUGGUAGUGGCAUCCAGAUGGACGAGGGGAAGGUGGAUUCCAUCCGGAAUUGGCCCACUCCAACCACUGUAAAAGAACUGCAACGAUUUCUGGGGUUCGCAAACUUUUACCGUUGCUUCAUCCGCAACUACAGCAGGAUAGUCCAUCCCUUAACCAACCUCCUUCACAAUAAGCCCAAGUCUCUGUCCUGGCCACCAGCUGCUCAAGAAGCAUUUGACCUCCUCAAGAGGACCUUCACCAGCGCACCGCUCCUUACCCAUCCUGAUCCUGAGAAACCAUUUACAGUCGAGGUGGACGCCUCUACUACUGGGGUAGGAGCGGUGCUAUCUCAACCUCAUGGAAACCCAGCUAAACUCCACCCAUGUGCUUUCUUCUCCCGGAAACUCAGCCCGGCGGAGAUGAACUACGACAUCGGUGACCGAGAACUGCUGGCCGUGAAGUUGGCCUUAGAGGAAUGGAGGCAUUGGUUGGAGGGCGCCCAGCACCCCUUUACUGUGUUAACUGACCAUAAGAAUCUGGAGUAUAUCAAACAGGCCAAACGUCUUAACCCACGGCAGGCACGCUGGGCUCUGUUUUUCACCAGAUUUCACUUCCAUAUCUCUUACCGUCCCGGUUCUAAGAACAUAAAGGCAGACGCUUUAUCCCGGCUACACGCUCCCGAAAUCACUACAGAUGACCCUGAACCUAUUAUACCUCAGCACGUGUUCGUCAACCCCAUUCAAUGGUCCGAUAACUCAGUUCCCUCCUCCAAUGUCUCCACCAGUACUCCGCCGGGCUGUCCCCCCGGUCUACAGUACGUUCCGAGAACCCAGCGUAAUCAACUCAUCCAUACUUCUCAUACCUCGUUGGGCACUGGUCACCCAGGGGCCAAUGGAACCCUCUCGCUGCUACGGGAACACUUCUGGUGGCCAAGCAUGGCAAGGGAUGUGAGAAGGUACAUCCAGGGUUGUACUGAAUGUGCCAUGUCUAAAUCUCCACGUCAUCUUCCCGCAGGCAAACUAUGUCCCCUGGCGACGCCCAAUAGACCCUGGUCACACCUAGGAGUGGACUUCAUCACAGAUCUCCCUCCUUCAGACAACAACACCUGUGUCCUUGUGGUCGUGGACCGGUUCUCGAAGUCCUGCCGCCUCAUCCCACUUCGAGGACUACCCACGGCUAUGGAAACAGCUAAGUGCAUCUUUAACCAUGUCUUUCGGUACUACGGAUUACCGGAGGAUAUAGUUUCAGAUCGAGGACCACAAUUCAUCUCCCGGUUCUGGAAAGCCUUCUUUUCACUCCUGGGUGUGACCGUCAGCCUCUCCUCUGGCUAUCAUCCCCAAAGCAACGGUCAGACGGAGAGGAAGAUUCAGGACAUUGGGCGUUUUCUACGUACCUUCUGCCAUGACCACCUGGACUCUUGGAACCAGUUCCUGGGCUGGGCCGAGUACGCCCAGAACUCUCUACGUCAACCAUCCACUGGACUCACUCCCUUCCAGUGCGUACUCGGUUACCAGCCCCCUCUCUUCCCAUGGUCUGGGGAACCCUCGGAAGUUCCUGCCGUGGACCACUGGUUCCGAGAGAGCGAGAGGGUCUGGGACGCAGCUCAUCAUCAACUCCGGAGGGCACUCUGCAGGCGCAGGCUGACGGCCGAUCAUAGGAGAUCCACGACUCCUAGAUACCUGCCCGGCCAGAAGGUCUGGUUAUCCACCCGUGACAUCAGGAUGCGCCUGCCCUGCAGAAAGCUAAGUCCCAGAUUCAUUGGCCCCUUUACCAUAAUCGAACAAAUCAACCCUGUCACAUAUAAACUCCAGUUACCAGCCCAGUACAAGAUCCAUCCUACUUUCCAUGUCUCACUACUUAAACCGUUUUAUCCUUCUGUUCCUGUCUCCACAGAGCCUGGCGAAACGACAGAUACCCCCUUACCGCUUCUCUUAGAGGAUGGUACCGCUUACCAGGUCCGCGAGAUCUUGGACUCCCGACGCCGUGGUGGCCUUCUGGAAUAUUUGGUGGAUUGGGAGGGUACGGUCCAGAGGAGAGGUCAUGGGUUCCCGACAUGACAUUCUCGACCCUUCUCUUCUGACAGAAUUCCACGCUGACCAUCCGGAUCGUCCAGCCCCCCGAGGAAGAGGACGGCCGCCACGACGUCGGGGUCCCCGGUCCUCAGGAGUGGACCGUGAGGGGGGGGGUACUGUUACAGACACGCCAGGCUCCACCUCAUCACAGCCACACCGCACUCCCUCACCGGAAUACUAAUUCCCAACACCUGUCACCCAUCACACACCUGCACUUAAUCAGCCACUCUACUCCCUAUAAAACCCAGCUCCUCACCUCAGUCAGUGUCCGGUCUCGUUUAUACUAAGGACAGAUCAGAGCAGUCUUCCUGUAUAUGCUUCACGGACUCACCACUAAGAUUAUUGGAUCUUUCUCCCUGAGAACUCUGAACCCCAGCUUCUGUCGAUCUACAGUCUCCAGAUUGUGCCGCUCUAUCUCCCGGCUCCAGUCCAUCUCGUAUCUCCUGAGUGUGCCGCUCCGAAUCCUGGCUCCCGUCUGUCUCCUGUGUCCGGAGCUCCUGUGUGUUCCCCGUCUUCGGUGUGUGGCGCCCCAGUGCCCACACACCUCUGCCAUCACUUUUGAUUCCCAAGGUUCUGGGCGUG